rnacentral:rRNA from 1 species
UAGGGAAUCUUCCACAAUGGACGCAAGUCUGAUGGAGCAACGCCGCGUGAGUGAAGAAGGCUUUCGGGUCGUAAAACUCUGUUGUUGGAGAAGAAUGGUCGGCAGAGUAACUGUUGUCGGCGUGACGGUAUCCAACCAGAAAGCCACGGCUAACUACGUGCCAGCAGCCGCGGUAAUACGUAGGUGGCAAGCGUUAUCCGGAUUUAUUGGGCGUAAAGCGAGCGCAGGCGGUUUUUUAAGUCUGAUGUGAAAGCCCUCGGCUUAACCGAGGAAGCGCAUCGGAAACUGGGAAACUUGAGUGCAGAAGAGGACAGUGGAACUCCAUGUGUAGCGGUGAAAUGCGUAGAUAUAUGGAAGAACACCAGUGGCGAAGGCGGCUGUCUGGUCUGUAACUGACGCUGAGGCUCGAAAGCAUGGGUAGCGAACAGG